CGUAGGGUGCAAGCGUUAAUCGGAAUUACUGGGCGUAAAGCGUGCGCAGGCGGUUGUGCAAGACAGAGGUGAAAUCCCCGGGCUUAACCUGGGAACUGCCUUUGUGACUGCACGGCUAGAGUGUGUCAGAGGGGGGUAGAAUUCCACGUGUAGCAGUGAAAUGCGUAGAUAUGUGGAGGAAUACCGAUGGCGAAGGCAGCCCCCUGGGAUAACACUGACGCUCAUGCACGAAAGCGUGGGGAGCAAACAGGAUUAGAUACCCUGGUAGUCCACGCCCUAAACGAUGUCAACUAGUUGUCGGGUCUUAAUUGACUUGGUAACGCAGCUAACGCGUGAAGUUGACCGCCUGGGGAGUACGGUCGCAAGAUUA
rnacentral:rRNA from 1 species